ensembl:snoRNA SNORA70 Small nucleolar RNA SNORA70
UUGCAGCCAGUUAAGCCAACCCAAUUCCUUUCCUCUUUGGGGCCUGGUGUGCAAUAGCUGCAAACAGCGCUUACUUGGUAGUGUAUGCAGCCUGUUUCUUGUAUGAAUUGCUCUAAGAGAUCUCGGAGACAGCC